GGUGGCCCUCCGGGUGUCACCUUCUGGUGGUGGCCCUCCGGGUGUCACCUUCUGGUGGUGGCCCUCCAGGUUUCACCUUCUGGUGGUGGUCCCCCAGGUGUCACCUCCUAGUGGUGGUCCUCCAGGUGGCCCUCUGGGUGUCACCUCCUAGUGGUGAUCCUCCAGGUGUCACCUCCUAGUAGUGGUCCUCCAGGUGGUCCUCCAGCUGCCACCUCCCCAUGGUGGCCCUCUGGGUGUCACAUCCUAGUGGUAGUCCUCCAGGUGGUCCUCCAGGUGUCACCCCCUUGUGGUGGCUCUCUGGAUGUCACCUUCUAGUGGUGGCCCUCCGGGAUGUCCUGGUGGUCCUUGAGUUCCUUCCUGGUGGGCGGGAGUUGGGUCCUCCUGUUUUGUCCCCAUGGUUCUCUUGGUGGCAGGUGGUUCCCUCACGGUGUCCCCAAGUUCUUCAGGUCCUUCAUGGUGUCCCCGUGGUGUCCCCGUGUCCCUCAGGUCCCUCAUGGUGUCACUGUGGUGUCUCCAUGUUUUUCAGGACCUUCAUGGUGUUCCCAUGGUGUCCAUCAGGUCCCUCCUGGUGUCCCCGUGUCCUUUAGGUCCUUCAUGGUGUCCCUAUGGUGUCCCCAUGUCUCUCAGGUCCCUCCUGGUGUCCCCAUGGUGUCCCCAUGUCAUCCCCAUGUCCCUCAGGUCCCCCAUGGUGUCACUGUGGUCUUCCCAUGUUCUUCAGGACCUUCAUGGUGUCCCCAUGUGAUGUCCCCAUGUCCCUCAGGUCCCCCAUGGUGUCCCUGUGGUGUCCCCAUGUCCUUUGUGCUCUCCAUGGUGUCCCCCCCAUGGAGACACCAGAAUGUCACAGGGAUCCACGUGUCCCCCUCAGUGUCCCCAUGUCCCCAGUGCCAUCAAUGCGGCGUCUGUGUGUCCCCCCUCCCACACUGAGGUCCCUUGUCCUCUCCCUGUCACCCCACAGGUGACAACGUGGGACGAGUACCGCGAGGAGGGGACCUUCCCCGGCAAGAUCUGAGCUUCUCUGAGGCUUGGGGGGGGGGUCACCGUUGUCCCCCCGGGGCAGGGGGUUGGUGACACGCACACCUGGUGGGACACCGCCGUCACCGGGGUGGGGGAGGGGACACCGUUGUCACCGUGGGGCGGUGACGCGGCCAAUAAAGGGUUAAACUGGUGCUGAGUGCGGCUCCCA
rnacentral:lncRNA from 1 species